rnacentral:pre_miRNA from 1 species
GCAAUACUCCCUCCGUCCGGAAAUACUUGUCAUCAAAAUGAAUAAAAGGGAAUGUAUCUAGAUGUAUUUUAGUUCUAGAUACAUCCCUUUUUGUCCAUUUUGAUGACAAGUAUUUUCGGACGGAGGGAGUACAAA